UGUACCUUGUUGAGCAGCAACCUGAGCAGUGGCAGGUAAACUUUUCAUCUGAGAAUCUACAUGAGAAAGGGCCAACUUAAAACCUUCAAUAUCUACCUCCUCUCUUUCAUUUCCCUCUGAAUCCCUAAAUAAGUCUUUCGCCUCUAACAAAUGUUUGUUCUUCAGAUAUAAGGCCACUUGAGGAUAACGGAUAAUUAUGUCUUCUAAAACAUCUCGGAAUUCCUUGACGCUUAAUGUUCCAGAGUCAUCCUUAUCCGCAGCUUUAAAAAUGGCUGAAAUAUCUUCCAUUACUUUACGUUGAUCAACAGAUGCACAAUCACCUAGUGCGUACACGUUACUACAGCCCUUCACUCGCAACCAUUCAUCAGUUGUUAGAAUACGUCUUUUUUCCUGGCCAACUUGCUCCAUGAAAUCCUUCACAAAUGGACGGGUACCAACUCCACUUGACCAUACAACCAUCCCGUAAGGUACUUCAACGUUUUUUCCUGUAGAUUUUACUUUCAUGCUGAUGAAAUGAUCAGACACACUAGUGACACGGCAACCUGUCGAAACCUCAAUUCCAUCUCUUUGAAAUUUCUGUUCAGCAAAUGAGCUUAUUCUUUCAUCAAAUGUGUUCAGGAUAUGAUCUCCGGACUGAAUAACUGUUAUCUUCACAAAAUCCUUAACAGAAGGGUAUAUUUUUACUAAAUCCUCAUAAACAUAGUCAUGUAGCUCAGCAGCAAAUUCUACACCAGUUGGACCACCGCCAACUAUAACAAAAUGGAGGUUGGUCCUUCGCUCUUCUUCACUUAGGCCAGGAAUGACAGAUUUUUCAAAACAAUCUAUUACUGUCCUCCGUAUCCUUUGAGCAUCUUCAACUUCCUUCAGAAAGUGGCAAUGUUCCAUAACACCUGGUGUGUUAAAAGUGUUUACUUGAGCUCCUACUGCGACAACCAAAUAGUCAUAUUGUAGGGAGAAAUCAUUAUGUCCUGCCAAAUUAUCAUUGAUACCAGAACGGCAAGAUACUCUGUGGUUUUCUGGAUCAAUCUUCAGACAUUCUGCUUCCCAGAAUUGAAUCUCUCCACUUCUCUUCUUUAUUAUGUUCCGGACCGGCUCUACUACGCUUCGUGCCUCAACUGUACCACAUGUGACACUAGGUAACAGUGGUGUAAAUGCAAAAUAGUUCCGCGGCGAAACCACUUUUACAUCAUACGAAGAAAUAUCAAGAUCUUUUAAGAAGCUGGUACCACCCCAUCCUGUUCCAAGCACCACUACUCUCUUCUUCUUAGACUCUGGUUGAUUCUGUUCAACAACUUGUUUUCCACUCUCUACAUUUGAUUCCGCAUACACCAACAGACCUCCAGUACUGAUAGAACAGAGAACCAAAAGUUUAGAAUAAGAAGAAUGACUAUGAAGAACUUUGCUUAAAUAUGUGAAACCCCUCAUCUUCUUUCUUAAAUUGUUCAAAGAUUGAAUCUUUUCUCAAGAUUUCUGUCAAAA
rnacentral:misc_RNA from 1 species